UUACCUGGAUAUACAGAAAUUUGGGCAGAAUCUCGCUAAAACUUAGAGCAGAACUUCUUCCCCUAGGCUCCUUCAGUCUAAGCAGAACGUAGAGAGAAAAAUUACAAGAGAAGAGAAAUGAGAAGUGUUUUAGGGAGGUUCUGAAAUGAAGAAUUGAGGGGCUAUUUAUAGCCUUCAAAAGACAUUAAAAUAUAAGGAAAUUAGGUUUAGUGGAUGAGUUAGUGGUGGUAGUGGAGGAGUUAGUGGUGAUGGUGGAUGGUUAGUGGAGUUUAGUGGACACGUCCUUUGGCACUCCCAUUUUGACCUUCUAGACGACUGAAUUUGGUCACGAGGUCUUCAUGAAAGUUGUAGCUUAGGAUGUUAUCUUUUCAAUCGUUUUGGAAUCACCGAAAAAGGAGAUCUAUAACUCCAGAUAUGACUGUUUUAGUGAACAGGGGUCAGGCUGCCAGCGUGAGUUAAAUAUGUUGCGGUUUUUAGAAUAUUCAACAUGGUAGAUGAAGGAAUUUGAAAAUGGUUUCUUCAUAAAAGUUAUAGUAUUUUAUCUUAGCUUUCCAUUGAUAUAAAGUUUGUAUCAUUUGGACAACCACAGACCGAGUUAUGCCCCAAAAACCGAGGCUUGCCAGUCAGCCCAGCGAAAACGAUUUUAACAAAAAGAAAGUUUACAACUAUCUAAUUAAGCCCAACAAUAUACAUAUGUUUCUAAAGCCUAUAAUUAAGCAUAAAUGGAGUGUGAAUUAGCUACAUUUGGAAUAAAAGAUAACUAUCAAAUAUAAUAAUAAUAACCAUUUUGGAAAACUGGGGUGUUACAAUUACACCAGAAAGGCCAUAGCCAGGCUAACAUAUUUAAAAAGAACACUUGCCCAGUUAGAAGACGAGGUAGCUCCAUGUGAGGCUCAGAUGGAAAGUUG